rnacentral:rRNA from 1 species
UACGUAGGGAGCAAGCGUUGUCCGGAAUCAUUGGGCGUAAAGCGCGCGUAGGCGGCCUCGUAAGUCCGUUGUGAAAGUCAAAGGCUCAACCUUUGAAAGCCGAUGGAUACUGUGAGGCUAGAGUCCGGAAGAGGCGAGUGGAAUUCCUGGUGUAGCGGUGGAAUGCGCAGAUAUCAGGAGGAACACCAAUAGCGAAGGCAGCUCGCUGGGACGGUACUGACGCUGAGGCGCGAAAGCGUGGGGAGCAAACGGGG